UACGGGGGGGGCAAGCGUUGUUCGGAAUUACUGGGCGUAAAGGGCUCGUAGGUGGCCAACUAAGUCGGACGUGAAAUCCCUCGGCUUAACCGGGGAACUGCGUCCGAUACUGGUUGGCUUGAGUUUGGGAGAGGGAUGCGGAAUUCCAGGUGUAGCGGUGAAAUGCGUAGAUAUCAGGAGGAACACCGGUGGCGAAGGCGCCUAUCUGGCCCGAUACUGACGCUGAGGCGCGAAAGCUAGGGGAGCAAACGGG
rnacentral:rRNA from 1 species